CCUACGGGUGGCAGCAGUGAGGAAUAUUGGUCAAUGGGCGCGAGCCUGAACCAGCCAAGUAGCGUGAAGGAUGACUGCCCUACGGGUUGUAAACUUCUUUUAUAAAGGAAUAAAGUGACUUACGUGUGCCGUUUUGUAUGUACUUUAUGAAUAAGGACCGGCUAAUUCCGUGCCAGCAGCCGCGGUAAUACGGAGGAUCCGAGCGUUAUCCGGAUUUAUUGGGUUUAAAGGGAGCGUAGACGGGAUGUUAAGUCAGUUGUGAAAUUUUGGGGCUCAACCGUAGCAUUGCAUUUGGAACUGGCGGUCUUGAGUCCGCUUGAGGUAGGCGGAAUUCGUGGUGUAGCGGUGAAAUGCUUAGAUAUCACGAAGAACUCCGAUUGCGAAGGCAGCUUACUACAGCGCCACUGACGCUGAUGCUCGAAAGUGUGGGUAUCGAACAGGAUUAGAUACCCCAGUAGUC
rnacentral:rRNA from 1 species